rnacentral:misc_RNA from 1 species
GAUGAAGAACGUAGCGAAAUGCGAUAAGUAAUGUGAAUUGCAGAAUUCAGUGAAUCAUCGAAUCUUUGAACGCACAUUGCGCCCCUUGGUAUUCCGAGGGGCAUGCCUGUUCGAGCGUCAUUUUGACCACUCCCGCUUGCGGGGUCUUGGGCCUUCGCCUCUGGGCGGGCCUUAAAAUCAGUGGCGGUGCCGUCCGGCUCUAAGCGUAGUAAAUCUCCUCGCUAUAGAGUCCCGGUGGAUGCUUGCCAUUAACCCCCAAUUUUCUAUGGUUGACCUCGGAUCAGGUAGGGAUACCCGCUGAACUUAAGCAUAUCAAUAAGCGGAGGA